AAACUCAAAUGAAUUGACGGGGGCCCGCACAAGCGGUGGAUUAUGUGGUUUAAUUCGAAGCAACGCGAAGAACCUUACCAGGACUUGACAUCCUACUAACGAGGUAGAGAUACGUCAGGUGCCCUUCGGGGAAAGUAGAGACAGGUGGUGCAUGGUUGUCGUCAGCUCGUGUCGUGAGAUGUUGGGUUAAGUCCCGCAACGAGCGCAACCCUUAUUGUUAGUUGCUACGCAAGAGCACUCUAGCGAGACUGCCGUUGACAAAACGGAGGAAGGUGGGGACGACGUCAAAUCAUCAUGCCCCUUAUGUCCUGGGCUACACACGUAAUACAAUGGCGGUCAACAGAGGGAUGCAAAGCCGUGAGGUGGAGCGAACCCUAAAGCCGUCUCAGUUCGGAUCGCAGGCUGCAACUCGCCUGCGUGAAGUCGGAAUCGCUAGUAAUCGCGGAUCAGAAUGCCGCGGUGAAUACGUUCCCGGGCCUUGUACACACCGCCCGUCACCA
rnacentral:rRNA from 1 species